rfam:Dipodomys ordii contig_65591, whole genome shotgun sequence.
GGGAAAGUGGCUCAGUGGUAGAGUGCUUGCUUUGCAUGCAUGAGGCCCUGGGUUCAAUUCCUCAGCACCA